ensembl:lncRNA
CACAAAUGGAAUUUCCCCUGCACUCAUAAUCAAAAACAUCAGAUAUUGGCAACCUUUUAGUCUGUACUUUGUGCUACCUCCCUUUGCUGAAGAGAACAGCUCUGAGUCUUCUCCUAUAAUGUCUGAUAAGGUUGGACAAUACAUGGCAAGGGAUCUGAGACCAUUGCUUCAUACAGAGUCUCUCCAGAUCUCCAAAAUUUUGAGGUCCAUGCUGGUGGAUUCUACUCUUCAGUUCACCACACAGGUUUUCUGUGGGUUUCAAUAUAAUCUAGUUGCAGACUGAAAUUAUGGACUGAAGACCGGACAUUCUCCUUUAGGAUUUUCUGGUAGAGAGCAGAAUUCAUGUUUCCCUCAAUUACUGCAAGUUGCCCAGGCCCUGAAGCAGCAGAGCAUCCCCACACCAUCACACUUCCACCACCACGCUUGACCAUAAAAUAUUCUGCCAAAUGUUUGAGGAUCAUCAUAGUGUGUUUUUGCAAAAUUCAGAUGAGCCUUAAUGUUCUUCUGAGUUAGCAGUGGUUUUCCCCUCACCACUCUUUUCUCAUUGUCUUUCUGAUAAUGGAGUCAUAAAAAAUGACCUUUAUUAAUGCAAUAGAGGCCUAUAGUUCCUUUGAUGUUGUCCUUGGCUCUUUUGUGACUUCCUGUAUGAGUUGUUGCUGUGCUCGUAGAGGAAUUUUGGAAGGUAGGCCACUUCUGGGAAGGUUCACUACUGUGAUGAGUUUUUCCCAUUUGGAGAUAAUGGUGCUUACCGUAGUUCUUUGAAGUCCCAGAGCCUUUGAGAUAGCUUUGUAGCCCUUCCCAGAAUGAUGUAUUUCAAUCACCUUCUUCCUCCUCAUUUCUGGAAUUUCUUUCAACUUUGGCAUAGUGUGUUACUGGGUAAUACCUUUUAACCAACUUCAUGCUGUUGAAAAAGUUCUAUUUAAGUGUUGAUUUGACUGAACAGGGCUGGAAGUAAUCAAGCCUGGUUGUAUCUGGUCCAGCUGAACCCUAUUAUGAAUGCAGUUUCAUCGAUUUGGAGAAUUAGUAAGUACAGGGGCAAAUACAUUUUGCCACCGGCCCAGUUGGAUAACUUUUUUUGCUUCAAUAAAUAACACUGUUGUUUAAAAACUGUGUUUUGUGUUAAAACAAAGGCAACCUGAGUAAUCUUAGAUUUUGUUUUAAUUUCUAAAACAAAUUAGUAUGAGAUAUACACAAACAGAGGAAAUCAGGAAAUACAAAAAAAAAAAAAAUUAUGUUUUAGGAUGGCCAAGUCCUGACCUUAAUUAAAUAGAAAUGUUUUGAAAGGAAGCAAGUAGAGCUUAUUGCAAUAUAAGCUUGGACAAGCUGCCUGUCAUGAUGAGGUACUUUUAAACUAAUGAUACCUAUUUUUCAGCCAAGACUAUAGUUUGCACAGUGCAAAAUAAAGAUGGGAAUGAGCUAUGGGGUGAUUUUCAGGAAGCCUGGAGGAAGGCUGUCAUGUACAACUUCUGUUCCUAUCCAAAGGAAGCAAACACUUUUUUGGAGAAAAUGGAUACCCUUUAGUUCUCGGUCACUUGAUCUUCUGUUAAAAAUAGGAUGUGUUGGUUUGAAGCUAGUGACCUUUAUCUGGGUCUGUGAAAAUUAGACUACAAAUAAUUAGUGUACUCUCUCCAGAUGUACUCUGGACAGCAAAUAUAAAACAUGCAUAUUCUGUCAAGAAAGCUCAUACAGUAUUUGAGCUUUUAUACUAUGACCAUGUUUUUUGACUAAAUAUUUCCAGUAUGUAUAUAUAUGUAUAUGUAUAUAUGCAUUGUACAGUAUAUAACUUUGUUUUUUAAAGCACGAGUUUUAAGUUUUGUGAAGAUUGAGAAAAUGAGCAUGAGCCAGAUAGCACUUUCAGAAACUAGUGGGUAUCAAAUGUGCACUAAUCACGUAUGAUUGCUACACAACUGACUGAUGAAUCAAAGUUCUUUAAGACUGAAGAGCACUUCAAUAGGAGGGUCAUCAGGUUAUAUAAAGAUAAUGUAAAGGUCAGAGAAAGCUCAUGGAUUUUCCUAAUCUAAUCUUAUCAGUGGAAAAUUGAGCAUGGCAUUGAAAAUAUAUAUAUUUUUGAAAACAAAUGUUUAUUCACAGUGCUACUUUUCACUAUGUUGCCAAAUGAUAUGAAAUGUUUUACUGAUGGACAAACAAAAUCAGCACAUAUGUAUGUUCUCUUAAUUUGCCUAAAAACACAACAGAUAAUAGUAGCAUUUGUUAACCAGUGAAAAUAAUAACUGAAUUGUCUCUUGCCUCCAAAAGUCCAAAUAGUUAGUCCAAGUAGUAAUCCAAUGAAUAGUAGUACAGUAGCUACAAUUGUUCUGCAAUAAUUGUGGUUUUUUGACUGUGGAAACUGUGGAAUUGCUUGAUACUUUUUCAUCAUACUCAGCAUUUGCUGUCAGCAGAAUCAAUAAGAAGCCUUAUUAUAAAAGAGAUUAUUUCUGUCUGAUAAACAACUACACUUUUCUCCACAAAAUGGAAUGAUCUUCUUCUACAGUGUUUUCAAUUUCAUCUAAAUCACUCUUAAAUUGAUCCGUGCUGCUUGGUCAUGGAGGUUUAUUUCUGUAAAAUGAUGGAGAUUUGAGAUGUCAGCAUGGUAUAGGCUAAAUCUCCAAACAUAAUCAGCAUUUGGUCAGUUUCUAAUGUGGUAGCUUUUAAAAAGAGAAGCCUUCAGAUAUGUUUUUUUUUUUCACAAAUUGAAUUGAAUCAUUUAUUCCCCCCACAAGCCAAAGGAUUUUGCAAUGAAAGGAAAAGAUGUUUUCACCUGGCAAAUCUCACCCAUCAAAUCACUUUUUAAGGUUGUUUGCUACU